rnacentral:rRNA from 1 species
GAUGAACGCUGACAGAAUGCUUAACACAUGCAAGUCGACUCGAGUCUUCGGACUUGGGUGGCGCACGGGUGAGUAACGCGUAAAGAACUUGCCUCUUAGACCGGGACAACAUCUGGAAACGGAUGCUAAUACCGGAUAUUAUGGUUUUUUCGCAUGGAGGAAUCAUGAAAGCUAGAUGCGCUAAGAGAGAGCUCUGCGUCCCAUUAGCUAGUUGGUGAGGUAACGGCCCACCAAGGCAAUGAUGGGUAGCCGGCCUGAGAGGGUGAACGGCCACAAGGGGACUGAGACACGGCCCUUACUCCUACGGGAGGCAGCAGUGGGGAAUAUUGGACAAUGGACCACAAGUCCGAUCCAGCAAUUCUGUGUGCACGAUGACGUUUUUCGGAAUGUAAAGUGCUUUCAGUCGGGAAGAAGUCAGUGACGGUACCGACAGAAGAAGCGACGGCUAAAUACGUGCCAGCAGCCGCGGUAAUACGUAUGUCGCAAGCGUUAUCCGGAUUUAUUGGGCGUAAAGCGCGUCUAGGCGGCAAGGAAAGUCUGAUGUGAAAAUGCGGAGCUCAACUCCGUAUGGCGUUGGAAACUGCCUUACUAGAGUACUGGAGAGGUAGGCGGAACUACAAGUGUAGAGGUGAAAUUCGUAGAUAUUUGUAGGAAUGCCGAUGGGGAAGCCAGCCUACUGGACAGAUACUGACGCUAAAGCGCGAAAGCGUGGGUAGCAAACAGG